UGCCUUAAUGAGUUUUAGUCUCAUAAGAAUCUUUUAAUAUUUAUAAUCCAUAAAACAUAUAAUAGUUUUAAAUUAUGAAAAAUGCGCUGAGAGCAACGGUAAUAAUGAGACUUUAGACAUUUUAGACUUUUAUUAGAUUAUGUUUUUUUAUAAAAUUAUAUUUUUCUACAAAGUUGACUAUUUUAUUGUCUCUGUUAAAGAAAAGUUCUGAGUACACCAAUGAAUAGAAAACACAUGAAAAGGGGUGGCUGGUUGUGUUUGAUAAAAAG
rnacentral:lncRNA from 1 species